UGUAAAUAGAAAAUAAUUUGUGAAAACUUUUGGUUUCAGAAUGUCCCCGCGCCAAGUUUACACAUAGUAAAAAUUCUAACAAGGAAUAUUUCAAAUGGGAGAUUUCGGGAUGAAUGAAAAAAAUCAUCAUCUGCCUUCCUGAUGUAUUCUCACUGUUUUGCUGCCAAGUUUCGGCAUCUUCAGUUUUGUGGUUUGAUGUAGCAUUACUGCAGGCCAGAGAAUGAUUGAAGUUCAAUCAAGGGAAUGCAUGUGAGCCUAAAGUAGUGCAGUUUUGUGAAUCCAAACUUAAAGCUUAAAAUGCAAAUGAACGUCCAAGACAAAUCAGUCUUGC